rnacentral:lncRNA from 1 species
CAAAGACUUUCAUUUAAACAGGAAAGAUGUCCUAGAAGGACCCAAAUGGAGAAAGGGAAGUAAGGAAAACCAAGGGCAGGGCAGGGCUUUUGUGCAGCCUAGUGAGGAAGGAUCUCUUGGUUAAGGUGAGGGCUAUGAAGAUCAGGGUCUCCCUCCUUGCUUCCCCCCUUUUUUGUGCAAACAGGAUGUGGCCAUGCAGCACUGGGACGUGACUGCUGGUACAGAAGUACACAGAUGUCUGGUUGGCACUGGUAGACACCAGGGUCAGGGGAAAAUACUGUGUUUCACUUCGAGAGACAAGAUGGCCCUCAGGGACUUUUCCCUUUUCGAUGCUGCCAGUUCCAGCACCCUUGAUUCCUGUGUUGCAAGAAGGAAAAAAAAAAAAAAGGUCAAAUAAGGACAAAGCCUGGGGAGUGGAGGCUGAUGCUACAGUCACAAAGAGGUGUUCUGUAGUGGGAGCCUGGAAAGCAACGAAAGGGCUUCCUCAUCUGGGCCACCACUCACCUGCCUUCAGGACACAGAUGAACAUGCCGCACAGGAGCUUGGCGCACAUGGCAGCAUCAGAUGCAGAAAGCCUGGCACUGUGAUGAAUUGAAUUCCUGGUACCAACACUUCCUUCUACUUCCUGGCCCAGAGAGACCACUCCCUCCUCUCACACAGUGUCAGAGACUUUGAAGAUUGCGGUUGAUCAUCUCUCAACAGCAAGAGGUUAUGGAAGAGAAAUCUGAAGAGAAAGAUGAGAAAAAGGUGGAGAAAUCCUUCACUUCAAAUGAGAUUAGAGAAAUAUGUAAAAUGUGGGAAACAGUCCAAAAUUUUGUAGAAAACACCACCCAAAUAAGUCCAUAGUGGUGCAAAUGAUGAAAUCUGCUGAACAACAAUGCAAUGUCACAUUCCUCCAAAAUACUCAAAAGCAGGUAAAAGCAAGUGUCAUUCGAUAGGUUCCAUGUUAAAGUUCCAAGAAAAGAAAGAUUCCAGUGAGCCAAAUGAUAGCAGUGAUUCCUUUAGUGACAGUGAAAGUCAUCCUACACAAUAACUCUCUUCUCUCUUGUCUCCCUCAUUCCAGCCAUGAAGGUUUUCAAAGAUAAUGAACUGGAUUGGAGCAGGAGAAGGACCUCAGAUAUGUGAUCCAUUUGGAAGAUGUUAAAGAUUAUUCAAGAAGGGGACAUAGUUGCCUAAAGUUAGGGUCAGAAAAUGGUGGAAUUUGAGAACAUUUAAUAAGUAGAUAUUUAAAAGAUCUGAUAGGAAGAAAAGGGGCAAAGGGGAAGGGGAAGUGGGCGGGGUAAAGGAAAGGAAAGGAAAGAAGGGAAUGGAAUUAAUAUGAGAAAAUGGAAAAAUGGAAACAAAAUCUUUGUAAAUAGGGAGGGAUGGAGGGGUUGAAGGGAGCACAGAGGAAGGGGGAAAAAUAAGAACCAAGAGAGAUUAUGUAAAGGUGCAAAUUUCCAAUGAUGAAUGUCAUUAUAUUGUAUACCUAAAAUGUACCAAUGAUUAAAAUGAAUUAUUGAUAAUGUGAAAUAGGAAAAAAAGGUCCAAAG